AACGAACGCUGGCGGCAGGCUUAACACAUGCAAGUCGAACGGGUGCAGCAAUGCAUCAGUGGCAGACGGGUGAGUAACACGUGGGAACCUUCCUAGGGGUACGGAACAACUCAGGGAAACUUGAGCUAAUACCGUAUACGUCCGUGAGGAGAAAGAUUUAUCGCCGAAGGAUCGGCCCGCGUCCGUUUAGCUAGUUGGUGAGGUAACGGCUCACCAAGGCGACGAUCGGUAGCUGGUCUGAGAGGAUGAUCAGCCACACUGGGACUGAGACACGGCCCAGACUCCUACGGGAGGCAGCAGUGGGGAAUAUUGGACAAUGGGCGCAAGCCUGAUCCAGCCAUGCCGCGUGAGUGAUGAAGGCCCUAGGGUUGUAAAGCUCUUUCGCCAGGGACGAUAAUGACGGUACCUGGAUAAGAAGCCCCGGCUAACUUCGUGCCAGCCGCCGCCGUAAGAC
rnacentral:rRNA from 1 species